rnacentral:ncRNA from 1 species
CCGAGUCCCGACGCACUCCCCCCCCGCGCCGGGACUCUCCAGAGCCGAGCUUCGGCGCCUUCCCCCCCCUGGCGCCGGGGCUCGGCUCCUUU